ensembl:lncRNA
CCGGGAGGGAGAAGGGGUGACGAGCGCCAUUUUCCCCACAGGGGCGAGGAGUCGGCCUUGGUUCUCCCGGUGGGCUUGCCGGAGUGCGUUCUGCAGACCAGAAGGGCUUUGCCUAGCGAUUGCUGAAUGCUGAAUAGCAGCCCGCUGGGAGGGAAGUCGAAGGGAGGAAUAGGACAGAAUGAGAGACCUGACCUUUCCCUGGAGGUUUCAGUGCCGGCCGAGGCCCUUGGUCUUGGUCUAGGGCCCUGCAUUCCCGAGAGCUGCUGUAUGCCGGGGAUUGGCUUCCAAGCCUGUCUGAGCUUCUCCAGUCGCCGGGGCAUCGCCAUGCGGUGGGAGGGUGAGCCUUCCUCUCCUGCUGAAAUUCUGGCGGCUUGGCAACCGGCUGGGGGGUCUUGGAUUCCGCUGGGAGACACCACGGAUGCUUUGUGCUUUCACGUAGUUUCGGUUUAAAAUUUGAAGGCAUCAGAAAUGGUGUCGCUACGGUCUUUUGUAUGUUCUUGUGUCGCGAACUAAUAAAGGAAAUUCAAAAGGAUGGGAAAAGCAUUCAGUCUGGUUCCCUAAAGUUAUUAAGAAUGGGUACAACUUAAUUGUGUCCGUUGUGGUAAUGCUUCUUGUAGCUCUCAACCCAGCCCUUUCUAAACCGUUGGAUAUACUUACUAGUCAGUUCCGAAGGCACUCAGUACAAAUUUGCUUUGGCGCACCCGGCCGACUAAAGAUGAGGUGGGUGUAUUAGACUCAAAAUGUCUUAAGUUGGCCAGGCCAGGGUUAGAAUUGAGCUACCAAGAGAAUGAGAGGCUACCCUGUUGUGAAAGAUUUAGAUCCCGCUUAGAAAAACAGAAAUCUGGAUGAUGUUCAACUUAAUGUCUUGCAUUUCAGACGAUUAUCGAAUGGACGGGGAUAAAUAAAAAAGAUGUUAAAGAUAGCCCUCUAAGUGUGGAUAGUAAAUGUUUUGAUUUACAAUUAAGUCUACUUUGAGGUGCGGACCCUAACCAACGGAUAGUUGAGUAAUGGCGGCCUAGACGCCAUUCUAAAGAAAAUAGGACUUUAAGCUUUGUUAGAACACAUAUUCUGUUAAUAAAGAAGUUUAAAUCCGUCCGGAUUACUUUUUUUUUUUUUUUUGAGACGGAGUCUCGCCCUGUCGCCCAGACUGGAAUGCAGUGGCAUCCCGCCCGGCCUGGAUUGCUUUUUAAGCCCUUAAAAGAAAAGUGUCACAUAUACAAAAUGGAUUAGGUGGCCGGGCGCGGAGGCUCACGCCUGUAAUCCCAGCACUUUGGGAGGCCGAGGCAGGCGGAUCACAAGGUCGGGAGAUCAAGACCAUCCUGGAUAACGCAGUGAAACCCCGUCUCUACUAAAAAUACAAAAAAUUAGCCGGGCGUGGUGGCGGGCGCCUGUAGUUCCAGGUACUCGGGAGGCUGAGGCAAGAGAAUGGCGAGAACCCAGGAGGCGGAGCUUGCAGUGAGCUGAGAUUGCGUCACUGCACUCCAUCCUGGGCAACAGAGCAAGACUUCGUCUCAAAAAAAAAAAAAAAAAA